AACGUUACCUCGGGGCGCCUUUUUGGCUGAGACGCAUUUUGCGAACCCGUCGAACCUGAACCGGUUAAGACCGGCGGAGGAAAGGUCAGCUUCAUGCUA
rfam:Rhodobacteraceae bacterium SB2 pfor_3, whole genome shotgun sequence.